ACUACUUUGUCAGAAAAAUGUGCUAGGUUUAGAGUUUAGUUAUAUAGAAAGAGAUUCUAUAAGUAGUA
rnacentral:tRNA from 1 species